rnacentral:rRNA from 1 species
GAUCAUGGCUCAGAUUGAACGCUGGCGGCAGGCCUAACACAUGCAAGUCGAGCGGAAACGACAMYAUUGAAUYCUUCGGAUGMUUURAUGGGCGUCGAGCGGCGGACGGGUGAGUAAUGCCUAGGAAAUUGCCUUGAUGUGGGGGAUAACCAUUGGAAACGAUGGCUAAUACCGCAUAAUGCCUACGGGCCAAAGAGGGGGAUCUUCGGACCUCUCGCGUCAAGAUAUGCCUAGGUGGGAUUAGCUAGUUGGUGAGGUAAUGGCUCACCAAGGCGACGAUCCCUAGCUGGUCUGAGAGGAUGAUCAGCCACACUGGAACUGAGACACGGUCCAGACUCCUACGGGAGGCAGCAGUGGGGAAUAUUGCACAAUGGGCGAAAGCCUGAUGCAGCCAUGCCGCGUGUAUGAAGAAGGCCUUCGGGUUGUAAAGUACUUUCAGUUGUGAGGAAGGGUGUGUAGUUAAUAGCUGCRCMUCUUGACGUUAGCAACAGAAGAAGCACCGGCUAACUCCGUGCCAGCCGCCG